GGUAUUUAAGCAUUCUCCACUGUG
rnacentral:siRNA from 1 species